rnacentral:rRNA from 1 species
CCUACGGGUGGCAGCAGUGGGGAAUAUUGGACAAUGGGGGGAACCCUGAUCCAGCCAUGCCACGUGUGUGAAGAAGGCCCUCGGGUUGUAAAGCACUUUCAGUGAGGAAGAACGCCUGGUGGUUAAUACCCAUCAGGAAAGACAUCACUCACAGAAGAAGCACCGGCUAACUCCGUGCCAGCAGCCGCGGUAAUACGGAGGGUGCGAGCGUUAAUCGGAAUUACUGGGCGUAAAGCGCGCGUAGGUGGCUUGAUAAGCCGGUUGUGAAAGCCCCGGGCUCAACCUGGGAACGGCAUCCGGAACUGUCAAGCUAGAGUGCAGGAGAGGAAGGUAGAAUUCCCGGUGUAGCGGUGAAAUGCGUAGAGAUCGGGAGGAAUACCAGUGGCGAAGGCGGCCUUCUGGACUGACACUGACACUGAGGUGCGAAAGCGUGGGUAGCAAACAGGAUUAGAUACCCGAGUAGUC